rnacentral:rRNA from 1 species
CCUACGUGGGGCAGCAGUGAGGAAUAUUGGUCAAUGGGCGCGAGCCUGAACCAGCCAAGUAGCGUGAAGGAUGACUGCCCUACGGGUUGUAAACUUCUUUUAUAAAGGAAUAAAGUUAGGCACGUGUGCCUUUUUGUAUGUACUUUAUGAAUAAGGAUCGGCUCACUCCGUGCCAGCAGCCGAGGUAAUACGGAGGCUGCGAGCGUUAGCCGGAUUUAGUGGGUUGAAAGGGAACGGAGAUGGGUUGUUAAGUCAGUUGUGAAAGUUUGCGGCUCAACCGGAAAAUUGCAAUGGAUACUGGCAACCGUGAGUACAGUUGAGGUAGGCGGAAUGCGUGUUGUAGCGGUGAAAUGCUUAGAUAUCACGAAGAACUCCGAUUGCGAAGGCAGCUUACUAAACUGCCACUGACAUUGAUGAUCGAAAGUGUGGGUAUCAAACAGGAUUAGAUACCCUUGUAGUC